rnacentral:misc_RNA from 1 species
GAUGAAGAACGUAGCGAAAUGCGAUAAUUAAUGUGAAUUGCAGAUUUCAGUGAAUCAUCGAGUUUUUGAACGCACAUUGCGCCCGCCAGUAUUCUGGCGGGCAUGCCUGUUCGAGCGUCAUUACAACCCUCAGGCCCCCGGGCCUGGCGUUGGGGAUCGGCGGAGCCCCCCGUGGGCACACGCCGUCCCCCAAAUACAGUGGCGGUCCCGCCGCAGCUUCCAUCGCGUAGUAGCUAACACCUCGCGACUGGAGAGCGGCGCGGCCACGCCGUAAAACACCCAGCUCUUCUGAAGUUGACCUCGAAUCAGGUAGGAAUACCCGCUGAACUUAAGCAUAUCAAUAAGCGGAGGA